UACGUAGGGGGCAAGCGUUGUCCGGAUUUAUUGGGUUUAAAGGGUGCGUAGGCGGCCUUGUAAGUCAGUGCUGAAAUAUCCCGGCUUAACCGGGAGGGUGGCAUUGAUACUGCAGGGCUUGAGUAAAGUUGAGGUUGGCGGAAUUGACGGUGUAGCGGUGAAAUGCUUAGAUAUCGUCAAGAACACCGAUAGUGAAGACAGCUAACUAAGCUUUAACUGACGCUGAGGCACGAAAGUGUGGGGAUCAAACAGG
rnacentral:rRNA from 1 species